AAACAACCUAUGCAGCGAGGGAACCCCGGAGCUUUCGGAUUGGUCGCUGAGGUGACGUUUGGCUGACGUCCUUUUGGGAGACCCCUCGUUGGAUUGGUUGGUCUCUUGAUGACGCCAGAAGCUUGAGCAGUUUUGCUACAGUCUGAGUUUGCAAGACUCCGAGUUCUUUGAAGAUCGCGAAGUUUCACUGAAGUGUUUGAG